rnacentral:rRNA from 1 species
UACGAAGGGGGCUAGCGUUGCUCGGAAUCACUGGGCGUAAAGGGUGCGUAGGCGGGUCUUUAAGUCAGGGGGGAAAUCCUGGAGCUCAACUCCAGAACUGCCUUUGAUACUGAAGAUCUUGAGUUCGGGAGAGGUGAGUGGAACUGCGAGUGUAGAGGUGAGAUUCGUAGAUAUUCGCAAGAACACCAGUGGCGAAGGCGGCUCACUGGCCCGAUACUGACGCUGAGGCACGAAAGCGUGGGGAGCAAACAGG